GACGAACGCUGGCGGCGUGCUUAACACAUGCAAGUCGAACGGAAAGGCCCUGCUUUUGUGGGGUGCUCGAGUGGCGAACGGGUGAGUAACACGUGAGUAACCUGCCCUUGACUUUGGGAUAACUUCAGGAAACUGGGGCUAAUACCAGAUAGGAGCUCCUGCUGCAUGGUGGGGGUUGGAAAGUUUCGGCGGUUGGGGAUGGACUCGCGGCUUAUCAGCUUGUUGGUGGGGUAGUGGCUUACCAAGGCUUUGACGGGUAGCCGGCCUGAGAGGGUGACCGGCCACAUUGGGACUGAGAUACGGCCCAGACUCCUAAGGGAGGCAGCAGUGGGGAAUAUUGCACAAUGGGCGGAAGCAUGAUGCAGCAACGCCGCGUGCGGGAUGACGGCCUUCGGGUUGUAAACCGCUUUCGCCUGUGACGAAGCGUGAGUGACGGUAAUGGGUAAAGAAGCACCGGCUAACUACGUG
rnacentral:rRNA from 1 species